rnacentral:rRNA from 1 species
GACGAACCGAGCGAACGUUAUUCGGAAUCACUGGGCUUAAAGGGCGCGUAGGCGGGCUGACAAGUCAGGGGUGAAAUCCCGCGGCUCAACCGCGGAAGUGCCUCUGAUACUGGCGGCCUCGAGGGAGGUAGGGGCGUGCGGAACUUCCGGUGGAGCGGUGAAAUGCGUAGAUAUCAUCUGGAACGCCAAUGGUGAAGACAGCUCGCUGGGGGUGUACUGACACUGAGACACGAAAGCCAGGGGAGCGAACGGG